AGUAAUGGUCGCAGAGCCGCGACCAGGAUAAUAUAAAAAAAGCUCAAACAGA
rnacentral:sRNA from 12 species